GGGCACGUAGUGUAGGGGUACACUCGGGUCUCAUUAUCCACCGGAAUAGCUGGUUCGAUUCCGGCCGUGUCCA
rnacentral:tRNA from 1 species